GUGUGUUGUGUCAGCUGUUUGUUUAAAUAAACAAACAGACAACAUAAAGAACAAAAAGGGACAGAGCGGCCAGAUUGCUAGCGGCGCUGGUAUGCUCGCGUAUUGCGCGGCUAAAGCUCGCCGGAUGGGGUGGUUUAGUUUUAACAAAUUUAGUUGUAGCAAAAUUAGUUUUAAUUUUAAGCAAAUUUUAGUUUUACGUUAAACAAAAUUUAUUUUUAAGUUUUUAGCUUUAAGUUUAAUUUAAGUUUCAAGUUAUUCUACGUCUUUUUUUCUUUCUUUUAUUUAAGUUUUCCCUUUUAUUUUUAGGUCCCUCAACAUCGAUUACUGGGUUGCUGCUGUGAGUAACAGGAUUCUUGAGAGCUGAUUGGUUUUCGGUCCGUCCGUAUUUCAGUCUGUUAGAGUAUUCACGGCUACCUAAAUUCAAACUUAUCACGUUUUUUUAUUUAAUAUUUGGCCUGAGCUCAAACCUAAUCGCGCACGUUUGGCUUAAUCACAAACUGGAUGACGACAAACGAAGUCGACAGGAAAUUAUUUAAAAGUAGUAAUUAGAAGUCCUGUUCGUUUGGUCGUUCGGGUGAAUGGUAAG